rnacentral:rRNA from 1 species
GGUGCAUUCCACGGGUUCCGUGCCGUAGGUAACGCUUAAGUACCCCGCCUGGGGAGUACGGCCGCAAGGCUAAAACUCAAAGGAAUUGACGGGGCCCCGCCAAGCGGCGGAGCAUGCGGAUUAAUUUGAUGCAACGCGUAGAACCUUACCUGGGUUUGACAUGGAUCGGGAGUGCUCAGAGAUGGGUGUGCCUCUUUUGGGGUCGGUUCACAGGUGGUGCAUGGCUGUCGUCAGCUCGUGUCGUGAGAUAUUGGGUUAAGUCCCGCAACGAGCGCAACCCUUGUUCACUGUUGCCAGCACGUUAUGGUGGGGACUCAGUGGAGACCGCCGGGGUCAACUCGGAGGAAGGUGGGGAUGACGUCAAGUCAUCAUGCCCCUUAUGUCCAGGGCUUCACGCAUGCUACAAUGGCUGGUACAGAGAGUGGCGAGCCUGUGAGGGUGAGCGAAUCUCGGAAAUCCGGUCUACAGUUCGGAUAAGGGUUGGGUAAACUCCGCAUUCAGGAAGUAAUGAGUCGGCAACCGUGGUUGAUCCGGAUUCAUCCGAA